CAGAAACUGAUAUUCAGCAUGCCUUCAUAUCUGCAGAAAGGGGUGAGCUUGACCAGGAAGAAUGAAGAGUGGAUUAGGGAGAUUGCACAGAAAAAUCUAGCAAAAAUAAGAAAAUGAAGAACAUGGUGAUGAGUGAAACUAAGUGGUGGCGAACAAAAGAGAGAAAACUGGGGAGUUGCUUGAUUGUUGAUCCCCUAACAGUUUGAGUUGGGGACAAAUUUUGAAUACCAUGUCGUGGUCUGUGUGGGAUCGUUAGAGCUUUCAAGGAAAACAUGAUGCAGCAUGAUCAUGUGUAUUCAUGUAAAUGUUCAAGCCCCCCUUAGCUGAGGAGGUAAGACCACACUGAGUCCUUCAAAUCUGCCUUUUGUUCCCCUGGCACCUGAGGCUUCCCAGCCUGUUGUCUGGAGUCAGCAAGAACUAGGAAUGUCUUCUUGCACUGCAGCUUCAUCCUCCAAGACCUCUCUCUUGUGCCUGGGCCUUCCCUGCUGUGGCUACAUUGCCUGCAUGUAUCACUGAUGGGGAACAACUGUAGGGGAGAGGAGUGGCCCCUGAAGUAGCAGAAAAACCCCAGAAUUUUUGAGGAAAUACAGCAGCAAGAUCU